rnacentral:rRNA from 1 species
GGGUAACGGCCCAACAAGCCUUUGAUCGGUACGGGUUGUGAGAGCAAGAGCCCGGAGAUGGAUUCUGAGACACGAAUCCAGGCCCUACGGGGUGCAGCAGGCGCGAAAACUUUACAAUGCUGGCAACAGCGAUAAGGGAACCUCGAGUGCCAGGUUACAAAUCUGGCUGUCGAGAUGCCUAAAAAGCAUUUCAUAGCAAGGGCCGGGCAAGACCGGUGCCAGCCGCCGCGGUAACACCGGCGGCUCGAGUGGUAACCGUUAUUAUUGGGUCUAAAGGGUCUGUAGCCGGCCGGAUAAGUCUCUUGAGAAAUCUGGCAGCUUAACUGUCAGGCUUUCAGGAGAUACUGUCUGGCUCGAGGCCGGGAGAGGUGAGAGGUACUUCAGGGGUAGGGGUGAAAUCUUGUAAUCCUUGAAGGACCACCAGUGGCGAAGGCGUCUCACCAGAACGGACCUGACGGCAAGGGACGAAAGCUAGGGGCACGAACCGGAUUAGAUACCCGGGUAGUCCUAGCCGUAAACGAUACUCGCUAGGUGUCGGCCACGGUGCGACCGUUGUCGGUGCCGUAGGGAAG